rnacentral:misc_RNA from 1 species
UACGGAGGGUGCAAGCGUUAAUCGGAAUUACUGGGCGUAAAGCGCACGUAGGUGGUUUGGUAAGUCGGAUGUGAAAGCCCUGGGCUUAACCUGGGAAUUGCAUUCGAUACUGUCUGACUAGAGUAUGGUAGAGGGUAGUGGAAUUCCAGGUGUAGCGGUGAAAUGCGUAGAUAUCUGGAGGAACAUCAGUGGCGAAGGCGGCUACCUGGACUAAUACUGACACUGAGGUGCGAAAGCGUGGGGAGCAAACAGG